rnacentral:lncRNA from 1 species
CCAAAAUUAAAUUGAAUUUUACUAAUGAAAAUAUCUUCAAAUAUUAAUAUACAAUAUUAACAUAAUUAAAACCAUUAAUGUAACUACUUCUAUGUAAAAAUUACAUACAAAUUUGUUAAUUAUAUCAAAAUAUUUCAAUAACAAUUUCUAAUUCUUUCAAUAAAAAAGCAAACAUUAGUGCAACUAUUAACAUCUCUAUUCUACAAAAAAUAUAGUUCAACCUCCAAAUGACUUUGUUGAUGUAAUCUUCAUGGGUUUCCAGAUCAUCUUCUUCAACACAAUGAUUUCUUUUCUUUUGACAAACAAAUUUCUUUUGCAACCUAUAAACAAAUAUAAAAAGAAUAGAAAACCUCUAAAUUAUACAUUUAACAACCAACAAGUACAAUUGAAACUAUAUAUAACUUUCACAAAAAAAUUGAAGGAAAAAAAAACCCUAGAACCAAUAUAAAGCAAAAUAUAGAAAAAUUUGAGAAACAUAAACAUGAAUUAAAGAAAAAUAUAUAGUUAAAGCUUAUCACUUAAGGAUAAAAUGUCUUUCAUUGAUGAAUAGAGAAACUAAGGAUGAACCAAAUUGAAUGACACCAUGAUGAAGGGCAAGAAUGACUGCAACCAUCUGCAAACCAUAUCAAAACAAUGUAAUGGAAUAGAAAAAUAAAGAUCAUACUAAAAAUCAAACAAUAUGACAAAUAAGUGACCAAACCUGCAUGCUAGUUGAAAAAUUGGUGAUGAACCUCAUUCAGAACCUAAAAGUGCUAGAAAAUAAGAAGCUAAGUUGUCACAUUGAUUCAUAUCAUAAAUACCAACCCCUUUAUAUUAGCAUCUAGUCUUUUAGGAAAAGAAAAAUAAAUGUGAAAUGUUAUAAAUAUUUUAUCAUUUAUUCUCAUAUAUAAACUAAACAGAAACAUGGACAUUGGUUCAUUAAACUAAUACAAAUCUACUUUUUCGCUCAGAUUCUUAAAGACAAAACAGAGCAUAGUAGAUAUACCAUUCCAAAAACAAGAAAAAGAGACAUUGGUUUACAUACCAAAAACAAGAUACUAGUGAACAAAACAAAGCACUAUCACCUUAAGUUGUAUCCGAUAUUCAAAUUAUUCUAAAAAACCCUAAUUCCCAUAGCUAAAAAUAAAUAAAUAAACUUUGAAAAAAAACCUUUGCUAUAUUGGAGGAACAUAAACUAAAAUUCGAGUCUUUCAUUUUGCUUCAAUCUAUAAUUUAUUUUAUCACAAACCAAAUAACUUAAAAUAAAGGGAAUUAAAAAUUAGUUUUGAAAAAGUAAGAGAAAAUAAAUAGAAAAGGAAAAAAAUAAAAGUAAAUAAAGAUUAAACAAGCAAUAGAUAUGAUGUAACCAUUUAAUACCCUAUAGUAUAAUAAGAUAAUAAAGUAUAUUUUAAUUUAAUCAAAUUAAUAUUUUCUUUCCCUCAAUAUCAACUGUUUAGCAAAGAAGGAAAUCGGAUUUUCUAUCACUUAAGAGAUAAUAUUUUACUUCUUUUUUUACCAAACAAGCUUUUAUCAUUAGGCUUUCUUGUUUUGGAAUAUACAAUAGUUCAAUUCUCAUUUCUACUUAUGCCAAAAUACCAUCUCCAAUAUGGCCUAUGUUGCAAUUUCGAUGAAUAAUAUUUAAAUUGUUGUUAUUUCCUUGAGAUUAAAAUAGAUUUGAUCUUACCUAGAACAACCAAUUUUUCUUAGAAUUUUAAGUUUCGAAAAGCAACUCUAAAUAGAAUGAUCAGUUAAGAAAAUUACAAAUUCCUUAAAGCUCAAGAUUUUUAUGAUAGAAAAUUAAACUUUUUAUACAUAGCACCAUAGUCAAACAUGACAUCCUAACCUAAAAUGAAAACAUUAAUUUAAAAGUUAUCUUUCUUUUUUAAUUUUAAUCUAAUUAAAAAAGUAAAUAAUAUAUGAAGAAAAAAUAUUCCUUUUUCAUCAUUUAUAAAAGGAAACAAAAGUUUUUAUGGAAAAUUUAAGAGGUACAAAACUAAAUCUCCCAUAAACCACAAGCGGGACAACCACUCAACAACACAAUAAACAAAGUCAAAGGCCAUAAAUCAAAAAAAUAUAAAAGGAAAAAUAAAGACACAUAUAACACCAAAAUAGAAUGCAAAUAGUCAAUAAAUUUUGUGGCCUAUAGUGGGUUAGUGACCGGGUUUGGAGCCUUUCAAAGGACAAAGCAAUAAAAAAAUGAACAGCAACACCUUACUUGGUGAUUUUUCAAAUUGGUUUCCUCAUUGAUUAUAGAAGUCAUCCCAUUUGUAACAAUGUAUUGGACAUCCCACCAAUAAAUUUCUUUAGUCUUCAAAGCAUUCAUCACAAAUCUACAAUAUUCCAUCAAAAUUAAAAACCAGGCACAAGCAUGUAAGUAGAUAUGGCCACUGUCUAGAAGAGAAAAUAAACUCAAUAUCUUAGACACAAUAUUUGAAAAGAAAAAAAAAAAACAGGUAGCAAGACCUUAAUUUAGUUCCAUUAUUUAUGGAUAGUGAAUUUUGGAACAAAAAUUAUUUAAAGUUUCCCAAAAAGAAAAAAAAAGGAAAUAUUAUUAUUUUGAAUAUCUAUUAUUGUUAUCAUCUUUUAAAAUGAGAUGAACUAGAUGUUUCUAAAGAGG